UACGGGGGGGGUAAGCGUUGUUCGGAAUUACUGGGCGUAAAGGGCUCGUAGGCGGCCAACUAAGUCAGACGUGAAAUCCCUCGGCUUAACCGGGGAACUGCGUCUGAUACUGGAUGGCUUGAGUUUGGGAGAGGGAUGCGGAAUUCCACGUGUAGCGGUGAAAUGCGUAGAUAUGUGGAGGAAUACCGAUGGCGAAGGCAGCCUCCUGGGCCAACACUGACGCUCAUGCACGAAAGCGUGGGGAGCAAACAGG
rnacentral:rRNA from 1 species